GACGAACGCUGGCGGCGUGCUUAACACAUGCAAGUCGAGCGGUAAGGCCCUUUGGGGUACACGAGCGGCGAACGGGUGAGUAACACGUGAGUAAUCUGCCUUUGGCUUGGGAAUAACUUCGGGAAAUCGGGGCUAAUGCCUGAUGUUUACUGUCUGCUGCAUGGUGGGUGGUGGAAAGAUUUUUUGGCCAGGGAUGAGCUCGCGGUCUAUCAGCUUGUUGGUGGGGUAAUGGCUACCAAGGCUUUGACGGGUAGCCGGCCUGAGAGGGUGUUCGGCCACACUGGGGACUGAGACACGGCCCAGGACUCCUACGGGAGGCAGCAGUGGGGAAUAUUGCGCAAUGGGCGUAAGCCUGACGCAGCGACGCCGCGUGGGGAUGAAGGCC
rnacentral:rRNA from 1 species